ACAAAGCCCAUGUACGAGCACAUAAUAUUUUCAAUAUAAUUUCCCUUCUUGAUUCCGGAUGAGAUCCCCGAAGACGUCAGAAACUUUUCACCGCACAGCAACAUAGCCGGAAAACCCCAAUGCGAGGCGCGCUGAAAAAGAAUGGGCUGCGUAACUUGAAAGGAAGAUGCGUAAAAGUAAUUUUAAUCGAAAAUUGAUUUAUAAUUGGAAAAUCUCAUUUGCAGAAAUUGAUUUACCGCAGCAUCCGCAGCACCAAGAAGGAAUCCUUCCACCAUGUCCCCGUUCCCGUCACCAUCUUCGUCGCAGACUUCACCUCGUCCUUUUUCGAAGCCACGUUGCCUUCCGGGAAAAUGCGUCCAAUAUUUUUCUGUUCAAAGGCAGUUUUCCAACGGGAAGGAAGCUGAGGUAACCGAGCGUCAAGUGGUUGAGCCAACAAAACUUUUGCCAGCAGAAAAAUGUCUGCUAAGGACGAACAGCUGCGUGAACUUGCUAAGAAAUGAGAACACUCGCCAAAACUAAUAAAGGCUAUUAAUGUAUUUUAAGAUUCUAAAAAAAUAUAUAUUUAUGUCAAUUAAAUUUCUUAAAAAAAAAUAAAGAAAAGAAAUAAAUGAAUAUCCUUUUCUCUAUUAGAGCAAUUUAAAUUUAU
ensembl:ncRNA lncRNA:CR46454 long non-coding RNA:CR46454